UCGAGAGUGUCUACUGCUUAAGAGUGCGGCUCCCCCUUGCCCACGUGAGGUGCCUUUUGCGGGGCAAAACCGUGAGGGGCAGCGUUCUUAGUGACCCUUCGGAGCACGCACCAUCCCGGAGUGGACAAUACCUCACAUAUUUGGAGGGGAGAAGGCUCAUACUCUGGGCACGUAGCCUCAACAUUUCCCUCGGGGCACGCGCCAUCCCGGAGCGGACAAUACCUCACGUGUUUGGUGGAGGGGGGAAGGCUCAUACUCUGGGCACGUAGCCUCAACAUUG
rnacentral:lncRNA from 1 species